ensembl:lncRNA LINC00511 long intergenic non-protein coding RNA 511
AGGGCCCCAUAAGCAGGUUUUGGCUUCCUGGCUUAGUUGAUUUAGAACAGGUCUAUUAGGUUGAACUGAAUGACAUGUCCUACCUUCUUUGGAUAGCCUGGGCUGCUGAUAGGCCCACUGUCAGGCAGGCUACCCUAGGUCUUGGUGGUUGCUGCUGCCUCGCUGUGUGACCUUGGAGCCCAUGGAACAGACUUACGGCGUAUGACCUCAUCGGAGACUUGUACAUGGGGCCAACCCCCAUUUUCCCACAGGAAACCCACACUCUAAUUAAGGGCUGACCCUGAACUUGAAUCUGAGUCUUCUCUUUCUUCAACAGAGAGCCAUCUCUCCAGCCCAGCUGGCAAGGAGACAGGUGAUGUUACAGGAAAAAAUACACAGCUUGUGCCCUUGGAAUUACCAGAGUUCAAAGCCUGUUCAGCAUCUACCCACCAUGUGACCCGGGUCGAAUUCUUCAGUUUCUCUAAGCCCAUUUUCUCAUCUGUAAGAUGGGGAAGUGUAAUCAGUUCUGAACCCACAUAUACCUCACUGGGCUUGAACAGGCCUGAGCAGGCAUGUGGGGCUUUACUAGCUAGCCAUCCUUUCUGCCGCUCUCCCUCAUUCUCCUUCAAGCCCCCCAAAGUCCUUGGUGGAGGAGGAAGUGGAGACAGAACGUUUGGUGUUGGGUGAGGUACGUGAGGAGGCUGAUUUCAGAACCUCCAGGAAACAAAGCUUUAGUGUUCCGAGGGCAGUGCCCGCCUGUGCCUCCUCCUCACAGGGGGUAGUAGGAGUGGGGUGGGGCCGAGGCAUUUCCCAGCACAGCUCAAUCACAUCUCCUGCGCCUGCCCUUGUGACCUGCUCACUGGAAAGGAAGAAAUGACCGAGGGAGAAGGGAGGGCAUUUGAGGUAUUUUUCCCUCUCCACCCUGGUCUUCUCCUGUAACGUGUGGCCGCCUUUUCCAGCACGGCCUCCUGCCUUCCUGGUGCACUUUUUGGAGAACGUGGUGGAAUCAGAGGUUUCUGGCUGACUCGGUGGGUGCUUUGAACCAGGAAAGGACAAGAAAGAGGAUGGGAAGGACUGAUCCACAUUCCCACCAGGAAGUUUAGCAGAACCCCCGCGUGCCACCUGGACCCCUUGGAAGGACCUGGCUCAGGCUGGACCACCUCUUGAGAGGCAGGAGCUCUGGAUUUGAUCAAGAAUUCUUUGCUGAGCAUGGUGCCUCAUGCCUAUAAUCCCAACACUUUGGGAGGCCAGUGUGGGAGGAUCUCUUGAGCCCAGGAGUUCAAGACUAGCCUGGGCAACACAGAGAGACCCCAUCUCUAAAAUAAUAAUAAUAAUAAAAUAAAAAAUUAGCAGGGCAUGGUGGCAUGUGCCUGUAGUCCCAGCUACCCAGGAGGCUGAGGCAAGAGGAUGGCUGGAGCCUGGGAUGUUGAGGCUGCAAUGAACUGUGAUUACCCCACUGCACUCCAGCCUGGGCAAAAGAGCGAGAGACCCUGUCUCAAAUAAUAAUAAUAAUAAUAAUCUUAUUUUGGAGAAUAAAGAGACCUCUGGAUUUGAGGUGCCAUUUGGGUAGAAAGAAAAGACGUUUACACCGAGAAAUAGUCUGUGUUGCCCUGAAGGAGCAGAGGGAUGCAUCGCUGGAGGUGACCUACAGUUGAAGAAGACUCAUUAUGACAGACCUUGUCCUUCUUCCUUGUGGAAAGUGUUUCCUCUGCUGCUACUGCUCAUGAGACUCUUCCCCCUCCCUGUCCCAGGGAACCAAAGGGCUUUCUACCACACCCUUUCUUGCCCCCCGCCUCCCAUGUCUGCUGUGCCUUUGUACUCAGCAAUUCUUGUUUGCUCCAUUAUCUUCCAGCCGGAUACAGAGUGAAUAGUUAACCACACUUAGGUCAAAUAGGAUCUAAAUUUUUGUUCCUGCUCCGUGUAAAGAGGCCAGUGUUUGUGUGUUGCAAGCAGCCUUGGAAUAGUAACUCUUCUCAUUUGUUUGGGAUCUGGCCACCAAGUUCCAGAAUGAUACACGGAUCAGUGCAGAAGUUCAUCAGGCUCUCGGACCUUAGGGCUGUUGGAGAAGGCUUCAGCAGCAGAACUGAUGGUGAAGGCUCGUGUUCUCCAUCCUCAACUUUCUUUGCUUCGAUCAUACACAAGAAUACAUUUGGAAGGGCAAAAAAUGAACACUGUCGUUCAUUGCAGCCGUGUUUUGUGACACAGAUGCACAGUCUGCUGUGAAGACCUUCUCUCAAGUGGCAUUUGGGAGUCCAUGCCAGAUCAUGGUGCUUCAUGAGAGACUGACAGCUAUCAGGGGUUGUGGCACUUAGUGAGGACUCUCCUCCCCCAGUGUGUGCUGAUGACACAUACACACCUGACAAUAGCUUGAGUCUUCUCUGUUCCUUUUACUCUGUAGCCAACAUACACAUGAUUUAAAACCCUUUCUAAAUAUCUAUCAUGGUUCAUCCUUGUCCAAAUGCAGAGUCAGAGCUAUUUGUACUUCAUUAUUAUUUCCAAGGCGAAUAGUUGGCUUUCUUUUUGCAAAAAUAAUUAAAGUUUUUGUAUGUUGCA